GGAAAAAAUAAAACACCAGUAACUUUUAAAUUGGCAGCACUGUACUUUUAUUAUCUUUGGUACAGUAACAAUCACAACUUAUUAUAAACUAAUGGAAUAAUAUAAGAGACGCGUUCAUUAGAUCUCUUAAUGUAAAUACAGGGCAAGCUGCAAAAAAACCAUAUGUGUUUCAUAAAAACCCAAAAUUUUUACUGAAAUUUACAAAAAAAGCUGAAACUGAUGCCAACAUUGUGCAAGAAACAGAACAGGAGCAUGAAGUGAUCGCUGAUAAUGAUAAUGAACAUUCUGAUAAUGUUGCUAUACAUGAACCAAAGAAGGAGCCGUCAAAAAAUAAAAGGAAAAUAGACAGCAUUGAGGCCGCAAUAUUAAAAGAAAUAUAAGAAAAUAAAACGACCAACUCUGAAAGAGUAUUAACAGAGGACAAGAUAAAAAUUAUAAUAUACUAAUACUUUCAUUUUUUCAAUUAGUGUGUGUUUUCUCCCGCAUUAGGGAGUAAAAUACGAAGUAUAAAAUACACCGUUCUAGUAACGUUACGGAGCUCAAGAUACGUCAACUUCAUCCCGCUAGAAGCAGCUUGAACGCGGCUUCGGUAGCCGAGUUUCUUCGACCCGGGCCAUCCAACAUCUUUGGCCAUACAUACAGGGGAGUACUCACAAACCAAGAGUAAAAGCAGAUAUUAAGUCCCCAUACUCACGACCAUAUA